CACAUUGUCAAGCCGAGACUGAGUACUGUCCAACUCAUGAGAGAAGUCAUCUAACAUCCUGAAGAAACAGACAGGUAAACUAACAGCUCCCCACCGAUGCGCUGUGACAUGUUCUUCAGCACCCCAAUGCUGCCAGAGACCAGCUCCAACUGCUCAUCCUGCUGCUCCACAAUCAACUGGUGCCAAAGCCAAGGGAAACAAGCAAUUAAAACCCCUUCUACCUGGGCCGGAGCCCAGCACUCCAGCAGCUAAUGGCUCAUCUGCCAACUUCCAUCAUCGGAGUUCGAAAUCAAAAUCCAGAAACAAAGAGUAGAGCCUGGCCCUGUUUCUCCUAGAAAGGCACUGCUCCAAAAACUGCCUUCGCUAGGACCCAGAGCCUACAGCUCCCUCGCUCAGACCAGCUGGCAUACCUACCCCUACUGCUAUCCAGAGACUGCUAUCCAGAGAUGGGAGCAGCUACAGGAGAAGAUAAGUGAAAGAAGAGAAACAGCCCUUUAAUUGCCACCACCACCAUUAGCUAUGCUUGGGCAGAAUUCCCCACGUAGAUGUCACAGAGGCUGGCAUGAGAAAUUGGCCAACCUACAGCAAGGAGCCCAUCGCUAAAUGGAGCGGUAGCAUGAGACUACAGUCCCCACUGCCACCUCUUCCUCAAACUGGCUGAUUCGCAAUACCAACUCCUAGAGAAGUCACCACGGGAGCUCUGGUCAGCCACUGAUAAUAGCAACGCCAGCCGUGGCUGUUGUUCUUGCACCUAUCAUUUCCUGUGGCUCUGCAGCUGCUCA